AGUGAACGCUGGCGGUAGGCCUAACACAUGCAAGUCGAACGGCAGCACAGUAAGAGCUUGCUCUUACGGGUGGCGAGUGGCGGACGGGUGAGGAAUACAUCGGAAUCUACUUUUUCGUGGGGGAUAACGUAGGGAAACUUACGCUAAUACCGCAUACGACCUACGGGUGAAAGCAGGGGAUCUUCGGACCUUGCGCGAUUGAAUGAGCCGAUGUCGGAUUAGCUAGUUGGCGGGGUAAAGGCCCACCAAGGCGACGAUCCGUAGCUGGUCUGAGAGGAUGAUCAGCCACACUGGAACUGAGACACGGGCCAGACUCCUACGGGAGGCAGCAGUGGGGAAUAUUGGACAAUGGGCGCAAGCCUGAUCCAGCCAUACCGCGUGGGUGAAGAAGGCCUUCGGGUUGUAAAGCCCUUUUGUUGGGAAAGAAAAGCAGCAGGUUAAUACCCCGCUGUUCUGACGGUACCCAAAGAAUAAGCACCGGCUAACUUCGUG
rnacentral:rRNA from 1 species